GUGUCAGCCGCCGCGGUAAUACGUAAGGGGCAAGCGUUGUUCGGAAUUAUUGGGCGUAAAGGGCGUGUAGGCGGUUUUAUAAGCCCGAUGUUAAAUACCACAGCCUAACUGUGGAAGUGCGUCGGGAACUGUAAGACUAGAGUUCAGGAGGGGAAGCUGGAAUUCCUGGUGUAGGGGUGAAAUCUGUAGAUAUCAGGAAGAACACCGAUGGCGAAGGCAAGCUUCUAGACAUGGACUGACGCUGAGGCGCGAAAGCGUGGGGAGCAAACAGGAUUAGAUACCCUGGUAGUCCACGCUGUAAACGAUGUGCACUUGGUGUAGGGUGCUAAGCACUCUUUGCCGUAGCUAACGCGUUAAGUGCACCGCCUGGGGAGUAUGCUCGCAAGGGUGAA
rnacentral:rRNA from 1 species